UUCUACAGCCGUACCACCCUGAGCAGCCUCAUCUCCUCUGUUCUGAGACGCUAAGCAGAGUCACUACUGGCCUGAGUAGUACUGAGAUAGAAGGCCAGGGCCCUGCAACCCAGGCUUCUCUAGUGC
rnacentral:rRNA from 1 species